GAGUUUGAUCGUGGCUCAGAACGAACGCUGGCGGCGUGGAUAAGACAUGCAAGUCGAACGGGAGAAUUGCUAGCUUGCUAAUAAUUCUCUAGCGGCGCACGGGUGAGUAACACGUGAGUAACCUGCCCCCGAGAGCGGGAUAGCCCUGGGAAACUGGGAUUAAUACCGCAUAGUAUCGAAAGAUUAAAGCAGCAAUGCGCUUGGGGAUGGCUCGCGGCCUAUUAGUUAGUUGGUGAGGUAACGGCUCACCAAGGCGAUGACGGGUAGCCGGUCUGAGAGGAUGUCCGGCCACACUGGAACUGAGACACGGUCCAGACACCUACGGGUGGCAGCAGUCGAGAAUCAUUCACAAUGGGGGAAACCCUGAUGGUGCGACGCCGCGUGGGGAAUGAAGGUCUUCGGAUUGUAAACCCCUGUCAUGUGGGAGCAAAUUAAAAAGAUAGUACCACAAGAGGAAGAGACGGCUAACUCUGUGCCAGCAGCCGCCGCAGU
rnacentral:rRNA from 1 species